UACGAAGGGGGCUAGCGUUGUUCGGAAUACUGGGCGUAAAGCGUAUGCAGGCGGAUCGUUAAGUCGGGGGUGAAAUCCCGAGGCUCAACCUCGGAACUGCCUUCGAUACUGGCGAUCUUGAGUCCGGGAGAGGUGAGUGGAACUGCGAGUGUAGAGGUGAAAUUCGUAGAUAUUCGCAAGAACACCAGUGGCGAAGGCGGCUCACUGGCCCGAUACUGACGCUGAGGUGCGAAAGCGUGGGGAGCAAACAGG
rnacentral:rRNA from 1 species